rnacentral:lncRNA from 1 species
UUUCUUUUAGAGUUACUGGAAAUUAAUUGAAACAAGUGAAGCUUAGCAUAGAACCUGGAACAUAGAAGAGGUGAAUAAAUUGAUAGUCUCCCUCUCCUGUCCAAGGUGUGGAGGCUACUACGUGAUGGGGUGUAAAAACUUCAACCCAGGCCUGUCUGACUCUUUAAUCAGCAAAACCUGGUGAGCCAGCUUCAACGGGCAGCUUUAGGAAGUCCCUAACUGGAAUGUAGAA